ACUUGUGGUGACGUAAGAAUAAUUUAUCAUAAGUGUAUCGCUCGAGUUGUGAUACUGGCGCUGUCACGCAGUUCACUAAUGGCUGUCUAUUCAGUGGGAUACAACCGAUCUUGCCUAAACCCAAAAUAUGAAUACAUUCGCACUUUACAGAGGACUAUUUUCCUGUUGCACCCAAUGCAAGGUUUUCCCACCUUGUUCUCAUAAUACAGGAUCAGUGAUUUUCCGGUAAACUAAAGUAUAGCUGAUGCGAAAAGCAUCAUCUUUCUCAAAUCUGGACAACGAAACAACACAGCAUGGACUGUCAGGAUGAAGCAGGUCUUAGCAGGCCAUCUACAUGUGCAGAACAGGCCACACACAAGCAUCUGGAGAUUUAUUUUUCAAUCGCAACGAAGGCAAGGUUUUCUCGCCAUGUUCAUGAUCCAGUGUCGGCGAUUUUCCGGUACACCAAAGUAUAGGU